CGAAAGGUGAACUAUUUGCAUUCCGAUGUUUACAUGUAGCGAUAAAAUACAUGCAACAAAGGCAGUAUUUAUAAUGCAAGAAAAGGAAAUAUUCAUUUAUAUUCUUCAUAGAACAUGUUCAAAGGAAUUUUUUACGAAAAAUUCCAAUCGGAUUAUUUCGACUACUUUAAGAAAACACAUUAAUUAAAGCUGAUAGAUGCUGAAACGUCGACAUCUGGUGAGCCGUACCAUCAAUUUCCAACACGCACGAACUAAGUGACAGACAAAUUUGUCUUAUUGUAUCCUUCUGUGUCUUAUCUUCGCACGAUCUUCGGUUAUUGCAAGUGAAACGCUACACUGCAAUCUGAGGAGCUCGAGAUGAGAGAUUACAUCGAUGCUUGAUGAACGUUGAGCGUUAUUUCAAAGAUUAUUCACUAUAAAAUAAACGAUAAAUUUCUCCAAACACGAACCCAGCAGGUAAACAGCAGAAGAAAUCACAACAGAGCUCGUCCCCGUUGCACUGAUGGAAGUUUUUGCCAUGAGAAGAACGGAAACGGAAUAACGGAGCCUUGUGUUUUCUGUUUUUCAACGGUUGACGUUGGAAACAUCACGGCGCGACAACAGAUUCACGUGUAAUGUGAGAUGGCAAACAAUUUGCCAUAAUCGACGACUAAGUUGUUCGGUUUGCGAUUGGUGUUAAUGAAUAUUCUUCGUUAAUCAGAAAUGUCCAAUAUUUUGCCUCUUGCAAAUGGAUAUAUAUUACCAUAUAAAGAUUAUUUCCACGAUUUGGCUGUCAUGCAAAGGAAGAUUCAAUUGGCUUGGUCAUCAUUUAACUAGUACGAGUCACGAGCACUGCAAUAAAGAAUGCAAAAGGAGCAAUUGCGUUAAGACGAUCAUGGUAACAAAAACAUACAAGCACGCAGCUGUAGUGGACUAAAAAGACAAAACCUUGCAAAAAAGAGCCUGUUAUAUAGUUGCAUGCAACACAACGAAAUUCCACGCUUCAUCUACACAGAAUGCCAUAAAAUUCCAAACAAAGUGCGGACACUCUUAUGGUAUUGCAUAACGAUCGUCUCUCCUGCAAAUCAAGAGAUAUCGAAGAUAAGUUUCUUCCACGAAGCGGCUGCAAUCGAUACAUCUGGUCCUGACGACGAACCGCGCAACGUCUUAUCUGCGCUCCUCGUUUUCUUGUCGACUUUCACGCGUAUGGAAGGGAAGGGGUGAUGGUCGUGGCCGGUAUCGCGACCGUAAAUCUUUUAUAGUUGGCUGUAUAUUCCGUUCGUAAUCAUACAGUGCUUAGCAUUUCACUCACCACAGGCCACGGUGUUAUUCCGCGGAACAGAGGCACAAUUUCUAUUUCUGCUUAUAAAUUCUACUCGGCCGAACAAACUUUCUCCUCGCGGGAGUACCUCGAAUUGAUGGACGUUCUGUACGUGGCCGCGAACACCAGGGAUAUUUCACUGGGUAAAGCAGGGUGAGGACCCAUUGGGAUGAGGUGGCA